rnacentral:rRNA from 1 species
UACGUAGGGUGCAAGCGUUGUUCGGAUUUACUGGGCGUAAAGGGCGCGUAGGCGGCGUGACAAGUCACUUGUGAAAUCUCCGGGCUUAACCCGGAGCGGCCAAGUGAUACUGUCGUGCUAGAGUGCGGAAGGGGCUACUGGAAUUCUCGGUGUAGCGGUGAAAUGCGUAGAUAUCGAGAGGAACACCUGCGGCGAAGGCGGGUAGCUGGGCCGACACUGACGCUGAGGCGCGAAAGCCAGGGGAGCGAACGGG